AAGAUCCUAAGGUGUACGAGUACCUACUAUUUUUAACCGACAUGAUGACAUUGGGAGUUCGAGUCUAAUUAUCUAUGUCAGGCCCACUUGAUGUAAGAGGGAAGACAAAAGUAAUUAGUAGGACACCCACCUGCUGGAGAGGCGGGGAUAAAAAUUGUAGGGAGACGGCUCCUCGGGAAAAGA
rnacentral:other from 1 species